GAUGAACGCUGGCGGCGUGCCUAAUACAUGCAAGUCGAGCGAACAGAUGAGGAGCUUGCUCCUCUGACGUUAGCGGCGGACGGGUGAGUAACACGUGGAUAACCUACCUAUAAGACUGGGAUAACUUCGGGAAACCGGAGCUAAUACCGGAUAAUAUAUUGAACCGCAUGGUUCAACAGUGAAAGACGGUUUUGCUGUCACUUAUAGAUGGAUCCGCGCCGCACUAGCUAGUUGGUAAGGUAACGGCUUACCAAGGCAACGAUGCGUAGCCGACCUGAGAGGGUGAUCGGCCACACUGGAACUGAGACACGGUCCAGACCCCUACGGGAGGCAGCAGUAGGGAAUCUUCCGCAAUGGGCGAAAGCCUGACGGAGCAACGCCGCGUGAGUGAUGAAGGUCUUCGGAUCGUAAAACUCUGUUAUUAGGGAAGAACAAAUGUGUAAGUAACUAUGCACGUCUUGACGGUACCUAAUCAGAAAGCCACGGCUAACUACGUG
rnacentral:rRNA from 1 species